rnacentral:rRNA from 1 species
CCUACGGGGGGCAGCAGUGGGGAAUAUUGCACAAUGGGGGAAACCCUGAUGCAGCAACGCCGCGUGAGCGAUGAAGGCCUUCGGGUCGUAAAGCUCUGUCCUAAGGGAAGAAUACUGACGGUACCUUAGGAGGAAGCCCCGGCUAACUACGUGCCAGCAGCCGCGGUAAUACGUAGGGGGCUAGCGUUAUCCGGAAUUACUGGGCGUAAAGGGUGCGUAGGCGGCCCUUCAAGUCAGAGGUGAAAGGCUACGGCUCAACCGUAGUAAGCCUUUGAAACUGUAGGGCUAGAGUGCAGGAGAGGGGGAGGGAAUUCCCAGUGGAGCGGUGGAAUGCGUAGAUAUUGGGAGGAGCACCAGUGGCGAAGGCGGCUCUCUGGACUGUAACUGACGCUGGGGCACGAAAGCGUGGGGAGCGAACACGAUUAGAUACCCGGGUAGUC